rfam:Enterobacter sp. 638, complete genome.
GCUUAUUCUCAGGGCGGGGCGAAAUUCCCCACCGGCGGUAAAUCAGCCUUGCGCUGAAAGCCCGCGAGCGCUUUGGGUGAAAACCUAAAGGUCAGCAGAUCCGGUGUAAUUCCGGAGCCGACGGUUAGAGUCCGGAUGGGAGAGAGUAACG